AGCCUGAGUGCCUGUCGCACCUCGCCAAGACGGUCGAAGAUGGGUAGAAAAGUUCAUCGGAACCUGGUCGCUGCAGCAGUUCUUGUACAGGAAUCGAUCGCAGUUGUGGCUUGCGACAAGGAAAACUCCUCAUGCGAUGACUGGUGCCAAAAUAACGACGUUACAACACAAUGAGGAGCAUCUCCUUAUAAUCAACAGGGAGGAUGUCUACGUCUGAUAGUUUUCGAACCGGAAAUUAAUUAUCAUUCAUGUACAGUUAACGCACGAAUAAGUCAUCAUAUUUUCAUGUUUUAUAUUUAUUAAAAUUACAUCAGCAAUAUCGCAAUAGUCGAAUGAAAAUACAUUGUGUGACGAUGUUGAAAACUUUUAAAAUAGUAAGAUGAUUAUUGUAACGCAGUAAUUGUUGAAUGUAUCCUACCUGCAUAAUUUAUCAAUAAACGAACAGCAAUUUUGAAACUGA